rnacentral:rRNA from 1 species
UACGGGAGGCAGCAGGGGGAAUAUUGCACAAUGGGCGAAAGCCUGAUGCAGCUAUGCCGCGUGUAUGAAGAAGGCCUUAGGGUUGUAAAGUACUUUCAUCGGGGAGGAAAAAACAAAACUAAUAAUUUUAUUUCUUGACGUUACCCGAAAAAGAAGCACCGGCUAACUCCGUGCCAGCAGCCGCGGUAAUACGGAGGGUGCUAGCGUUAAUCAGAAUUACUGGGCGUAAAGAGCACGUAGGUGGUUUUUUUAAAGUCAGAUGUGAAAUCCCUGGGCUUAACCUGGAACUGCAUUUUGAAACUGAAAUACUAGAGUAUCGUAGAGGGAGGUAGAAUUCUAGGUGUAGCGGUGAAAUGCGUAGAUAUCUGGAGGAAUACCUGUGGCGAAAGCGGCCUCCUAAACGAAUACUGACACUGAGGUGCGAAAGCGUGGGGAGCAAACAGGGAUUAGAUACC